AUAUAAAUCCAUGAAAAUUUUUACAAUGCUAUUUAUUAACAAUACAUGACAAGAGUACUAGAAAUGUUACUUGUGACUAUUUUGUCUAUUCUAGCCAAGCUGGAUGCCUGGCUGUUUCUCAGUUAUACUAAAUGAGUUCUGCUCUCAGGGUCUUCAUACUUGCCCUUCCCUCUGCCUGCAACACUCUUCCUCCAGUUUUUUUUUUUUUUUUUUGGCUCUCUCCAUCACUUUAGGUCUCCAUUAAAACUGUCAGCUUCAGGGAAGUUGCCUUCCCUGACCACAACCACACUAAUUCAAAUAGCAAUCCUUCCCCGCCUCCGUUUGGUAACUCUCUAGUCUCUUAUCUCCUUUAUUUUUCUUCAUUUCGUUUAUUUACUUGACAUUAUAUUUUAUAUUUAUUUUGUUACUUUCUUAUUGUCUGUCACCUGCACUAAAAAAUAAACUCCUUGAAGGCAGGGUUUGGGCUUUUUGACUUCUGUAUGCUCCAGAUCUGGAAGAGUACCAGGCACAUCGUAGAUGCUUAAUGGAAGAAAGAAAAGGUACAGAAUGAACAUACAGACAUGUGACAGUACUCUCUCUCUGUGUGUGUGUGUGUGUGUGUGUGUGUGUGCCAAGUGUUUAUUUUGAAGACGUAUCUGUCUAGUUCUGGUUCAUAGAACCAGUUAGGCUAUACACAUAUAUAUACAAGGAUUGUUUUUUAAGUGCCACUUCUUCCCUUUUUUUUUCACCUUCCCUUCCCACCAUCCUGAAGGGGUCUGUCCUGCACUCCAGAAUUAUACUUUAAACUCCCCCACUUGAUAUUCUUCCUGAAGUUCCCCAAACUUAAUAUUUAUAACACUGACCUCAUUAUCUUCUCCCCCAAACUUGCUUCUCUUCCUGUUUUUUUUUUUUUUUUUUUUUUUUGUGCUAGAAUACGGAGUCAUCCCUGCAUCCUUCCUCUGCUCUCACAUCUAUUCAGUCACUAAGUGCUUUCCAUUCCCCCUCCAAGCCCUUCUCAAUUCUGUCCAUACCUCUCCAUUCUCACUGCCACUGUCCCAGUUCAGGCUGCCAUGACAGUUUCAUAACAGGCUCCCUGCUUGCAGUCUCUCUUUUAUGUGUUUUAUCCUCCAGGAUAUAGCUGAGUUAUUUUUGUAAAACAUAGGUUGGAUCACAUUGCUCUCCACUGCUGCCAUGAUGGCCAAACCCUGGCUCUGACCUGUCAUUCUGGCCGCAUCUCCACACUACUUGCUGGUCCUUGGACAGGUCAUCCACUUACACACUGCUGAGCCAUUGCUCAUGCUAGCUGCUUAUGCUCUAGCUUGCUGGAUACUCCUUUCACCUUUUUCCACUGGUGAAUUCAAUCUUCAAGUCCCAGCUUAGGGACCACUUCUUUUAAGAGCCCCACCUUCUUGUCAGUCAUAAUUACCACUUCAAAGAAGAUUCCAUGUAACUGAUAAAUGAAUUCAGUGAUACUCUUUCUCAUCAGAGCUCUUACGGUAUUUUGUUUAAAGCCCCAUUAGAGGGCUUUAUUGUACUAUAUUUAGGUGUGUUUGAUAUGAUCUGUCUCCCUAUGAGAAUGUGAACUCCAUAAUACUAAUAGCUAACAUAUUGAGCAGUGAAUACACUAUGCUAAGUCAGGCAUGGUGCUAACCACUUUAUAUGCAGUAACCUCCAACAGCCCUGUAAGGCAGAUAAUAUUACUACUGUAAUAGCAGUAGUAAUAUUUCACAGAUAAAGAAACUGAAUGCAGGGUGGUGAAUUCACUUGUGCAAGGUUAUAUAACUAGAAAAUGGUAGAACUAGGAUUCAAACCAAGAAGUUCACAUCCUUAAGCCCUACUGUAGGCUACCUCUGUGGUGAUUAGAGGCCUUAUCUUAUUCAUCUUUGUAUUUCCAGUCUCUGGUAUUGUGUUGCUAUAUGAUAAAUGCUUUUCAUAUAGUAUAACAGAAGAAAAAUGAUUACGAAGCAUACUAGCUAUUUGCUAAAAAACUGAUAGACCAUGAUGAAAGAAUUAGUCGUGUUCCUCAAUGCAAGGGCUAUACAUGGGCUUUCCUGAAUCUGUA
rnacentral:lncRNA from 1 species